UACGUAGGGGGCAAGCGUUGUCCGGAUUUAUUGGGCGUAAAGAGCGUGUAGGCGGUUAGGUAGGUCCGUUGUGAAAACUCGAGGCUCAACCUUGAGACGCCGAUGGAAACCAUCUAACUAGAGUCCGGAAGAGGAGAGUGGAAUUCCUGGUGUAGCGGUGAAAUGCGCAGAUAUCAGGAAGAACACCCGUGGCUAAGGCGGCUCUCUAGUACGGUACUGACGCUGAGACGCGAAAGCGUGGGGAGCGAACAGG
rnacentral:rRNA from 1 species